ACUUCCAUACCACGGGUAGCCGCGGGAAGCGAGACAGUCUGCAUUCCAAGUUAAAACAAGGUCAGUACCUGAGCGUGUCUUUUCGAUCCUCCGAUCGCUUCUUUUGGAAGGCAAUCCGAGUCUCAGGGGCUACUGCAUAUACAACAGGUGCAUUCGGUCAAUAAUAUUCCAUUGACAAAAUUACAUCACAAACCUCAAAACCCCUUAGAAGGCUCAUGAAGGCCUCAUUCAACCCGCUUUUCGCGGAGAGAACCUUUUCGACCACCGUAACCAUUAAGGCGCGGUGCUCCUUUGAAACGGACGCCUGUCGCAGCAUGUCCGUCAGCGUCUUCGGCACUCCUAGGUCUUCGGACACCGUUGCUGGAGCACGAUAUUCCUUUAAAGGAAUCCGCUUAACUGCCUCCAGAAUCAUCUCCGAUUGUGAGCCGGAUAGUUCGGGGCCACCAUUCUUGACCCCCGAACCCAGAAUGGCAGAGGCACCACCUUCGGGUAACUCCUUCCUCGUUUCCUGUGCUACUUGCCAGUCGGGAGGGGCCCUCCGGGACAACACCUCAAGAUUAUCCGUCCUAUUGGGCGAGGAGGUUGGAGAAGGCGUGUCACUCUCCAUCAUCUCUGGAAGAAGGUCCCCCGAGGAGGAGGACGAUUGAGAAACACCAGGCGUUAACCUGCGAGGACGUGCACAUGUCGAAGAACUACUUCAGUUAUAAGAAAAGAAUGAGGUAUGGUUAAAGUACCUCGCUUCACUUACGGUCUGGCCGGAGGUUCGUCCUCAUCAUCAGGCUCCACAUUGACAUCGCUCGCCUGGCUCAAGCCGACCGAUGAUGGCAUUUUUCCUUUCUUCGAAAGUUUCCCCUCCUGGCCUCCAGAGGCAGCCCGCUUCUUGCCAUGGCAGGCAUCUCCUUUGGGCUCCACGCUCUCACCCCCCUCUGCAGACACCUGGUACGGUGUCGGAAUUAACAUCCGCGUCAGCAGGGUGGACGCGGGAUCUUCGGGAAGGGGCGCCGGACUCCAGAUUAAUACCGCUUUAUUUAUCCAGUCUUGCGUAGGGCGGAGUGCUCAGUAUCUUGUCAAAAGAUGUUGAAAUAAAAGGCAUUGAAUACUUACCGAAGUGUCCGGAUGAUUGCAGUCGAGGCCAACAUCUUCGGUGGUGUCCGGCCAUUGCUCUCGCUCCCCGAAAUAUAAUUUCCACAUUCCUUCAUGCGUCGUGCCAAAGAAGUGCUGAAGGGUCAGCCGCCCUUCUGGAUUGAACUCCCACAUACAGAUAGGCCGCCGCUGACAUGGCAGGAUCCGGUGGACUAGCAUUACUUGAACAAUGUUCACAAGCUUGAUGCCUCUCUCGCUAAGGCUUCGGAUGCGACUUUGCAGAGUCUGCACCUCAUUAACGGAUCCCCAGUUCAAUCCCUUGUUGAUCCAUGAAGCGAGUUGAAUUGGAGGGCCGGGUCGAAAAGUAGGAGUAUCCAUCCACUUGGAGCCCCGCGGCUCGUUGACAUAAAAUCAUCCUUGCUGCCAUAGUUCGGAAGACUCGGAGAAAGAUCCUUCAAACCAAACCGCGUUGGCAAGCUUGCUUAUAGCAACACUGCCGCACUCUGCUUGCUCCUCCUCUGUCACCUGCGGUCUCACAUGAGAAGUCUUGAGCCACAAACCAAAGUGCGGAGGAGUCCGGAGGAAGGCCUCACACGUGACGAUGAAUGUCGAGAUGAGAAGAAUGGCGUCCGGGGCCAGGUCGUGAAAGUCUAGCCCAUAGUAGAACAUGAGCCCCCGGACAAAGGGGCUAAGUGCGAACCCUAACCCAUGAAGGAAGUGGGAUACAAAUACUACCCUCUCGCCAGAUUUGGGGGUGGGAAUAAUCCGCCCCUCGGCAGGAAGCCGAUGAAGGAUUUUUGGGGUCAGGUAACUCACUACGCGGAGCUUCGCAAUAUCCUCCUCCGUGACGGAAGAGGCCACCCACCAGCCUGAACGGCUGGGCCCGGACAUGAUUGGGGCGGCUGGUGAUUGGAACUCGAGGGCUAGAACUCGAGGAGGCUGGGAUUGAGGAAGAAGCAAGUGCAGAAGAGAAAGACAAGUCCAGGUCCCUAUAUAAAGGCCCAGAAUGUUGAGUGUCCCCUCCUGGGUAUCGAAACUUACCUAUCCUCAAAGAGUUGUGCCCAGGGGACGGUUGGGUUACCCAUACCAACAUUAUUGAAAAUCCCGUGAAUAAGGGGACACGAUCUCUGCUUUCACAAGACGUGCCAAUAAAACCGCUUCCCGAGACGUGGGGCGAUAGGAUAGCCAACGGUUGGAAAUAAUAACCAGGCGGGCAUGAUGCAAUGUCGCAACAGUUGUUGACCGAUUGGACUCGUGGAGUAUUGUAUUUUUUGCAAUUAUGUACACAGGUCCGGAUACAAUCAUCACAUCCGAAGACUAUAUCGGAGUUCGGAGGAAGGGGAACCCGCCUUGCAAUGUCGAAGACAAUCUGCGCGCCGGACUCCUUGUCAUUGAAGCCAGGUUCAGGGGCUACUGAGGGAGUCCUGGACUAAGGGGUCCUCGGGCGUCCGGCCUGUUAUCCAUGGGCCGGACUGAUGGUCUAUGAAGACACGAAGACCGAAGACUAUACCCGUGUCCGGAUUGGACUCUACUUGGCGUGGAAGGCAAACUAGGCGAUUGAUUAUGAAGAUUCCCUCUUAUUUAACCGACCUCAUGUAACCCUAGAUCUCUCCGAUGUCUAUAUAAACAGAAGAGCAUAGUCCGGAUAGGACAGAUUCAUUACCAUAUACUCAUAGGCUAGACUUCUAGGGUUUAGCCAUUACGAUCUCGUGGUAGAUCAACUCUUGUAACACUCAUAUUCAUCAAGAUCAAUCAAGCAGGAAGUAGGGUAUUACCUCCAUAGAGAGGGCCCGAACCUGGGUAAACAUCGUGUCCCCCGUCUCCUGUUACCAUCGAUUCUAGACGCAUAGUGCGAGUGGGGAAGGAGGGUUGCGUUUUUCUGUAAGAGUGGAAGAAGAGGAGCAGGCUUUUUCUGUACGAGUGGGGGUUUUCUGUAUGAGUGAGGAACAUGGGGAGCGGGGCGAAAUGGGGGGCAACGGAAGCGGGAGAGUCCGGCGAGCUGCAGUAUAAGUGGAAGCGAGGAGGAAGGAGGGUUUUUCUGGGAUCGCCCCCUCUUCAAGAAAUAUGGGCUUCUCCUCGCAAAAAACAAAAACAAAUGGGCUUUAAGAUGGAUAGGCUUUUGUAUAGGCCCAGUCGUCUACCCGUGUUUCGUACUGGAGGGCCUUAACACUAGAGGCAGCCCAUUAGAGACACUCUCUAACUCUCCAUCUUAUUGCCCAUUCGAAAGAAAAUAAGAGACGCCUCCAGCUUAAUUAUGGCUCCUCAUGGGUAACAUUUUUCAACUUGAAAAAAAGUUAUAGCUCCUUUUCGGGCCAGCUUGGCAUUCACCAAAUUAGAGGAUGGUGUACUGCAUGCAGACACUCACAUUGGUCGUAGCGCGGCAGAAUGAGGGGUCAAAUAACAUGCCCACAAUAUACAUAGAUUAACAGGGAUUGUGGGGGAUUAAAUCAUGUAAAGCCAAAUUCCCCUCCAUUCCUAUCCAAACCCCUUGGGAGGAGGUUGAAUCGAACAAGGCCUAAGACUAAUCACAGUGGGAGUAACUUAAUUCCAUACGGUAUCAUAAUAUGAUACUCAACCCUCUCUUUCGUCAUUUAAUUCUACGCCACCUCAUCAAAUUUGCCUACUAGUUGGCAUGCAUGAUACAACUUAUGAUACUCCCAUUACAACCAGCCAGGUAGAAUUAAUAUACCUAAUCUAAAUGAUCGCUGCCCAAUCUCUUUGUCCUCCUCCAGUAUCCGACAGAAGAAGAAUCGUGCAAGACACCGGCUAUAUUCGUCGGCGUCGCCUCGGCGGUGGCCUUCAUGGGAUACAAUCGGCGGCGGCCUCCCGUGUUCUACUUCUCCUCGAUGAUGGCGGCGGGCGGGGACGUGUUGGCCGUCACCUCAUCGACAUCCGCGAAGCCGCGUAGCCGCGUCAGCUCAUCCACAUCUGCGGCGGCUUCUUUCUCUGCCUGCAUGUCACGGCUACGCGUGCGUCGACGACGGAUGGUGCAGUCGCAAACACUGGAGGCGCUGUAAGACGCGGCUGCAUUGAGGGCAGCGACGAUGCCCAUGCCGCCGUGCUCCCCGACAAGCCGGCGUGGAGCAAGUUGGCACUCUUCCUCGAGUUGUAUUGGAGCGGCCGGAUGCGGAACCACGCGCUGGCUUAGUGCGGCAACUGCCUCCGACGGGCUAAGUGAGGUAGGUGAAGCGGCGAGCUGCCUCGCUCGUAACUGCCGGGCUCGGCGGGCCACCUAGACGGCUUUUAUGCCGGAGAACUGCUCUUCCUGCUUGUCUGAUGCCGCCGAAAGAGUGGACAAAAUGAUGGAAGGAGGAGCUUGGCGGGCGUCCUGCUCCUGAAGAGAUGUGUGUGGCCGAAGUGAGUUUCUCGCAUUCCACGCGGGUUUAAAUGUAGGUUUUUGAAUGUGGCGAGGAGGCGGGUGUCGGUGUCAAAACCGGCGGAUCUCGGGUAGGGGGUACCGAACUGUGCAUCUAAGGUUGAUGGUAACAGGAGACAGGGGACAUGAUGUUUACCCAGGUUCGGGCCCUCUCUAUGGAGGUAACACCCUACUUCCUGCUUGAUUGAUCUUGAUGAAUAUGAGUAUUACAAGAGUUGAUCUACCUCGAGAUCAUAAUGGCUAAAACCCUAGGAGUCUAGCCUGUAUGAUUAUGAUCGCCUCUACGGACUAAGCCCUCCGGUUUAUAUAGACACCGGAGGGGACUAGGGUUGUACAAAGUCGGUUACAGAGAAAGGAAUCUUCGGGCGCCAAGCUUGCCUUCCACGCCAAGGAGAGUCCCCUCCGGACAUGGGAGAGAGUCUUCGGUCUUGUAUCUUCACAGCCCAUCAGUCCGGCCCACGUUCCAUAGCCCGGACGCCCGAGGACCCCUUAAUCCAGGACUCCCUCAGCGGGUACAGCUGGGAGUGUAGCGGGUGGCGCCCUGGGCCGGCGCGCCGCUUCAAAUGGUAGACGCAGUGAGAGGUCGCGUCCGCCCUGACCCCCUUGAUCGUGGACCUUGACGGUGUACAUCACCUUGUGUCCAGAUCUGAGAUGCCAUGUGUACCAGAUGAAUGACUCCAAGUUCGACCACCGUGAUGCUAAGUGCGAGCCGAGGAACACUGUUGGAGAUACCCCCCUCAUAAUUUUCCUAUUCCUGCAUUUUAAGUUCCUACGAAGAGAGUAGUACUUGCUCUAAUUGAUGUGCCGCUGCAAGAGCCGCCUAUAUUAAUUAACCAUGCUCUAAAAAGGUGGACCAGCUUUGGAUAUAGUAGUAUACUGUAUUAGGUUAUUAGGUGACCUUGUGCUUGGCUCUUCGCUUCUUCCAGAAGUCAAACAAUAAUGAUGGUACUACAGUAGUACUACUUCUGGCAAUCUGACACCAAAUGAACUGUUGCACGUCCACCGCUUGUAAGCAAAAGUUUCUCCUCGUGUUGCGAGCCACCACGCACGCGUUGGCGAGGGAGAAGGCGUAGUAAGCAAGCUUCUCGUUGUUCUGCGAGUUGACAUGACACAUCAAAGUUAAUAUUUAGUACUCUCUCCAAAAAGGGCCGACCAUGUCCAUGGCUACCAUCCCGUGCUCCGUCAUUGAGUACAUGCACUAUUCACGUGCCAUCAAGGAGAAAAAAUAUUGCGUAGUACUAGGUGCCAUCGUAGUGCACGACUCACUUAUUCACUUCUUAUCUCCAUUUUCUUGCAUGACAUGUGCACCUUGAUGCUAGAUGUCCCGUGUGUUGGCAAAAGGAUGAACAAAGCUCACGUUAAAAAAAGAGUGGAAGAACAUAGAUUCCCGAUGACCGAGAAGGAGCAAGGAACCUCGCGGUGGAGCAUCUGCACUCAUAAUAUUUUAUAUUAUUCAGUGAUAUAAAAUCAACCAAUCAUCUCCAUAGUAGACCGGAAGAGUACGAAACACGACAGCCCUGUGUAGUUACAUCACACAUGGCCAACCCACGCUAUCACCAUAUUUCUUGGCCUCCGUGUGACACCUAGCUCUAGUAAUCCACCAGCUCGUAUCGCUUCUCGCUCCUCAUCUCUCCAAAGUGUGGCGGGCUGGCGUUUUUGCCAUCUAUUGAGGUCGAUUAACUCAUCACAUGUUAGCGACAUGCCAAGAGCAUUCUUAAAAAAUUAUUGUACUCUAUUGUUAUGCCAAGAAGAGGAAGCGCUUUGACCGACGGACCAAAUGAGACAGGCGUGCCAUGCCGUGAGUGGUUCCAGUUUCUCGUUUUAAACUUGUUUGGUGUAGUAGUAACACUUGGUUUUGACUAUUGAUAAGAUUUUAUAUAGGGCCUAAUGUAUUCCUCGGGGUUGCCUUUGACUAUUGAUAAGAUUUUAUAUAAUUUGAAAAUUAUAUCAUUCGAAGGUCCUUUCACGUUCUGUUUCAAAAAAAGAUCCUUUCACAUACGACUUUGACGGCAUGCUUUGAGCAACUUGCAUGUCCUAUACUGCUCCUGUUUGGAUACUCUAACUUAUCUAGAGGUUAGACUAACUCAUGACUAACCCUGAACUAACUGUAGCCAAAGAGGUGUUUGAAUGACAGGGUUAGAUUGACAAUAAAUGCACUUGAUGGAGAGAGAAAAGUGAUUUUUCAGUGGGCCCCAUGAUAACUAGCUCCAAUUAGCACCACUUGGCUGGCGGGAUAGAGAGAGAAAAGUGAUUUCAGUGGGCCCAAUGAGAACUAUCUCCAAUUAGCACCUCUUGGGUGAGAUAAAUUUUUUUGGUGGGUUUGGUGCAACUUGCUCCAAUUUAACCCUCAUGUUUGGAUACUUUAGGGCUAUUUGAGCCCCAACUACCACAAACUAACCCUAACCCAUGGAUCCAAACAGGGCCAAAUUUAGUCUCAGAAAACGCAUUAAGCCCUAUAUACAUGGACAGACGGAGUACAUGAUACUAGCAAACGCUCACCAUUAGUAGUAGUUCAUUGGUUGGUUUUGAUUUUUGAUUCAGUUGUUGUGUUGCUACCGUCCAAUAUUCACGUGUGGUUGUUUCUAGAAUAAAAAAGGAGGUAGUACUUACUGUGGGAAAGGUGAAGUGAUGGUUGCUUCGCCCGAGCAACUUAUUACUCUGGGAAUAUUGGAGUACCAGCGGAUUCAAUGAACAGAGAAAUGAUGGUUGCUUCGUCCGAGCAACUUACUGUGGCGAAGGUGGGGCUCUGUGAUUUGACUGCUCACUAGUCAUUAUUACUGGGCGCAACGACCGGGUGAAUCUUUCCCUGCAGUUGUGCACUCAAUAUUGCUUCAUGGCAGGUGGAGCCAGAUGAAGGAUGUCCCACAUGUUGGUGAAACAAAGUUGAAUUGUUUCUGGCAUUGCUAUCAAUCCUUCAGGAUUUGUUUAUAUGUACGCAUAAUUUUAAUGAAAUUGUACUGUGAUGCUAUGAAGGUUUCAUCUUUGGUUCCCGCAGGAAAAAAAGAUUUCAACUUAGGAUUCAUGUGUGCUCUUGCCUCAAGAUUAUCUCGUUACAACAUUCCAUCCAAUACAAAUGAAACUACCAUGGCUGAUAAUGCAUCUCAAUGGUUCGCAAAUCAGCGCCAAUAUUCACAUCACAACUGAAGACAAAGUUGUGAGAAGGUGUACAAAAAAGAAAAAUAUAUAAUUGAUCGAUGAUGUUCGUAGGCAUGGCUUCGUUUCCUGGGCACGGUGUUCAUUGGUUCGCAGCUAGUUUCACCCAGCUCUGUAGCCAAAAAAGAGGUGUAUGGAGGACAUCACAAUCCGAUCAUUUUGUGAGGCUCCGCUAAAAUCGAGCUGAUCAUCCGUGUUUGCAAAGAUAUUCAGUCAGUGUGAUUACAAUAAUAGUGGAACUAGAUGAUGAAACAUAACACACACAAAUAGAAGCAGAUCACCUCUGCGAUCUCCCUUUAGGACUAACUACCUGUUGGAGAAGAUUAGGCACGGAGUUGGAUGAGGAGGAUAGCAAAACCAAUCUCCCUUUCUGCAGUCCCACAGAAAUGUAAAACGUUGCCCGUGUGACAUUUUGGCGGAACUGCACAAAACACUCUUAAGAAAAAAGUGAUUUGUGCAGUUCACCAAAAGGUCGCAAUAGCAACGAGGUGAAAUGGAUAGCCUUGUUUGCAAAAGGAGGUAGAAAGGGAACAAUUACUGCCCAAUAACACGAGUUGAAGACACAUACGCCGACAAAAAAGAAGCAUAUUCCAUGUAAUAAGGGAAAGAUAGCAGCCUGGUGGUUUAUCAAAAACGGUUUGAGGAUGAGAUUGCAAGAUGGAAAGUGCGCCGGCCGAGAUACGUUUUAAGCAAACAACUAAAGAAGAUCCACAUGCAGGAUUUUCCACAUGCAGCAACGUGGGAAGAUGGGCAGUGGAGUAAGGCCGGAGGAAGUUGUACCUGAGGGUCGUCGGGAUGUAACUAGGAGGGCGCCGGCGGCCGGGAUCUGCCCAUACUGCGGCAGCGAGCAAGUGGCGAAGGCCCUACCGCGCCGGAGCUUAGUCAGAGAGAACGGCGGGUACCGCAGAUCGGGACGUGCUGCCUCAACGCCGUCGACCGGAGAAACGAUGCACAUCCUCCCUUUUCGCCGGCGGACGAGAUGCCGCCGGAUCAGUGACCAACGGUGAGAGAGAGAGGCCACCGCCGCCUUGUGUGAGAUGGUGUGACUAGUGACAAACCCCGGCAGGCAGGUUCCAUUGUAUAUAGUGGAGCGGAUUUUUCUUUUUUCCCAACGACAAUCGUUUUAUAUUCUGUACGUGCCAUUGAGGAAUAUAACUUUAUUUAAUACUAACACGUCAAGUCAAACUUUGUUCCGUCUACGCGUGGUACACGACCCUCCUUCGAGUAAACAACCGCUACACGCGUCAAAUUAUCACGUGGGCUGCCUUUUCGUACAGAAAUGAACUCCACCGUGUACCCGCGCGGGUGUGGCCGGGAACGAGACGUGAGUACGUGCGUUGUGCGUGCACCUCUUCUUUAGGUGCAGGUACGUACGUGGGUAGGUGUGAGAGAGAUGGUUUGUGCGAAACAGAGGCAAUGUGUCGAUGAUAUCUCAAACAAAGAAACGUAACAUAUGCAAUGUGUGUGAAACAGAGUCAUGGAUAUAUCAUAUAUAGAGGGAACGAUCCACGAGAAGAGAGUGGAGGGAUCAUCGGCGUGAGAUGUCGAUAGAAUCGAAAACAAGGAUGAAGUGUGUGGGUGCGCGAUCGAUAAAGAGUGCCAUCAUGUGUUUGCCCACGUCAAAGAUACAGGGCGGCUGGCCUACUAGAAUUUGAGAGGGCUGAGGUGCAGUUUUUCUCUGUGGCAUGGAUACCUACCUAAAAUGUUCGACUAUCGGUGUAUGUGGGGGGUGGGGGGAGGGGGCAGAGACCUAACUAUGGAGAGGUAGAUCGACUAGUAUAUGUGUGGAGAAGGAGAGAGACCUAGCUAUGUAUUGAGGGAGAUCGACUGGCAUCCAUGCAUAUGUGUAGCAGAGGAAUAAGGUUGGGAGAAAGACAAAGGUAGAGUGUCAGAGGGUUGGUGGUGGAGUUGCUUCUCACAAAUGGUGGGAGAGGCCUGCUAGACAAACGGAGGGUACGGGUGCAAUAUCAAUAAGAGAGGGUCGGGAUGUCUGCCUGUCUAUGCAGGUGCGUGUGAGAGACGGGUCGGGAGGUAUGCAAGGAUGAUGAGGGGAGACGAUAUGGUUGUGGUAAGCAUACGUAACUACAUAGGAAGAUCAAUCGUCGUGUGUCCGAGAAAUGGAGAGACAUAACUAGUGUGGUAAGUCUAUCGGCGCGUGGGGAAAAAGAAUUAUAGUCGACCUAGCUAUAUGUAGGGAGAUCGGUACAUAUACAUGCAUGCAUGUGUUAGAAGCAAAUAAGGUCCAGAGAGACGGACAGGGGGAGAGGGGUGCGGCUAGGAGGUGGUGCCAGAGGCCUACUAUGUCAAAGGGGAGGAGUGUGCGAGUAUGAGAUCGAUGAAAAGAGGGGCAGGAGUGUGCACCUGCGUGGAACCGUAUUGGACAUAGGGGGUAUGGACGGUGAGAAGAGAAGAGGGGAAGUGUGUGUUUGUGGUAGGCACACUUGGCUAGAGAGGUAUAUCGAUUGGUGUGUGCCGGAAAGAAGGAGCCGGGGGGCCUACACACACCGUGGGUGAACAACCUAAAGAGAAAUAACGAAUGUGCGUGAUGGAGGGGACGCUGAGGGAGGGUGAGAGGGGGGCGAGCGUAUGCAUCCAUGAUAGAAAGUUACCGCUAGCUAGCUACAAAGAGAACAGGAUCGUGAAGGUGUAAAAGACGAACAGAGAUCAUAGUUCAUUAUAAAAAAGUGGAUUCGGAUAUUUGAAGAAGAUAUCAUAAUGUAGAACAUUGAUUAUAAUUUGGGAUAAUGUGUGGCUUUUGCAACUCAGUGCUAAAUACUUGUCAUAAUGUAGUGGGCGGGGCACUAAACUUUGUGUGAUAAACAUGGUGUACGUAUGGAACAUGGUUUAGAUUAUGAAUAUCUAGUUAGUACAUCAAAUGUACUAUUAUUUGGAAUCAACAUCAAGUGUAUUCAAAAAAUUGAAUUCGAGUUCAUAUAGUACACAUAGUUCAUAUCUAUCUCUAUAGUAAUCAUGUGGUGUGUUGUUAAGGUAAUGCACGAAUGAUGGUUGAAGUUGGCAACAAUCAUGAUUGUAGAUUCUUAUUCAAAUAGAGAAACAAAUUCAAAUUUAUUUCAACUUGCAGUGGUAGUAUAGACAUUUGGAAUGCAGUAAAAUGUUGGUAUGAGUAGGUUACAUGCAUUAUACAGCCAGCGAAAAAAUUUAAUUGGACAUAACAUGGAUUCAUAGCUUUGAAUAGCAUUUGUAUAGUAAAAUGGGACAAACUCUCUCUUUGUGUGGUGUGAAUAGUUUUAUUUUUUCGUUUCUUCGUUGAGGGAAGUGCCAAUUGAUUUGGUACAUACAAUAUUACACGUUAGGCUUGUCCCUAAAAUUCAACCCGCGCCUUGUUAUAUCCUGAAAAUUCAGAUAUCGUGCUCCCAAAACUCGUGCCUUCACAACCCGUGCAUCGCUACGAGUGAGAAAAUCUCAUCGUAGUCAACACCUUGAACUUGUCAAAAACCUUUUUCGACAAGUCUAGCUUUGUAGAUAGUAACACUGCUAUCAGCGUCUGUCUUCCUCUUGAAGAUCCAUUUAUUCUCUAUGGCUUGCCGAUCAUCGGGCAAGUCAACCAAAGUCCAUACUUUGUUCUCAUACAUGGAUCCUAUCUCAGAUUUCAUGGCCUCAAGCCAUUUUGCGGAAUCUGGGCUCAUCAUUGCUUCCUCAUAGUUCGUAGGUUCAUCAUGGUCUAGUAACAUGAAUUCCAGAACAGGAUUACCGUACCACUCUGGUGCGGAUCAUGCUCUGGUUGACCUACGAGGUUCUGUGAUAACUUGAUCUGAAGUUUCAUGAUCAUUAUCAUUAGCUUCCUCUCUUGUUGGUGUAGGCAUCACAGGAACGGUUUUCUGUGAUGAGAUACUUUCCAAUUCGAGUGAAGGUACAAUUACCUCAUCAAGUUCUAGUUUCCUCCCACUCACUUCUUUCGAGAGAAACUCCUUCUCUAGAAAGGAUCUAUUCUUAGAAACAAAAAUCUUGCCUUCAGAUCUGUGAUAGAAGGUGUACCCAACAGUUUCUUUUGGGUAUCCUAUGAAGACUCACUUCUCCGAUUUGGGUUCGUGCUUAUCAGGCUGAAGCUUUUCACAUAAGCAUCGCAACCCCAAACUUUAAGAAACGACAGCUUAGGUUUCUUGCCAAACCACAGUUCAUACGGUGUCGUCUCAACGGAUUUAGACGGUGCCCUAUUUAACGUGAAUGCAACUGUCUCUAAUGAAUAACCCCAAAACGAUAGUGGUAAAUCGGUAAGAGACAUCAUAGAUCGUACCAUAUCUAAUAAAGUAUGGUUACGACGGUCGGACACACCAUUACGCUGUGGUGUUCCAGGUGGCAUGAGUUGUGAAACUAUUCCACAUUGUUUUAACUGAAAGCCAAACUCGUAACUCAAAUAUUCACCUCCGCGAUCAGAUCGUAGAAACUUUAUUUUCUUGUUACGAUGAUUCUCCACUUCACUCUGAAAUUCUUUGAACUAGUUGUUGUUGAUUACGUUACUAAGUGGGUAGAAUCUAUUUCAACUAGUAGUGCUGAUCAUAACACCUCUAUUAAGAUGCUUAAAGAAGUUAUUUUUCUGAGGUUUGGAGUCCCUAGAUAUUUAACGACUGAUGGUGGUUCACAUUUUAUUCAUGGUGCUUUUCGUAAAAUGCUUGCUAAGUAUGAUGUUAAUCAUAGAAUUGCAUCUCCUUAUCACCCACAGUCUAGUGGUCAAGUAGAAUUGAGUAACAGAGAGCUCAAAUUAAUUCUGCAAAAGACUGUUAAUAGAUCUAGAAAGAAUUGGUCCAAGAAACUUGAUGAUGCAUUAUGGGCCUAUAGAACUGCAUAUAAAAAUCCUAUGGGUAUGUCUCCGUAUAAAAUGGUUUAUGGAAAAGCAUGUCACUUACCUCUCGAAUUAGAACAUAAGGCAUAUUGGGACAUUAAAGAGCUCAUUAUGAUUUCAAACUUGCCGGUGAGAAGAGGUUAUUUGACAUUAGCUCACUUGAUGAAUGGAGAACCCAGGCCUAUGAGAAUGCCAAGUUGUUUAAAGAAAAAGUUAAAAGAUGGCAUGACAAAAGGAUACAAAAGCGUGAGUUUAAUGUAGGUGAUUAUGUGUUACUAUUCAACUCCCGUUUAAGAUUUUUUGCAGGAAAACUUCUCUCUAAAUGGGAAGGUCCUUACGUUAUAGAGGAGGUCUAUCGUUCCGGUGCCAUAAAAAUCAACAACUUCGAAGGCACAAAUCCAAAGGUGGUGAACGGUCAAAAUAAUCAAACAUUAUAUCUCAGGUAAUCCCAUAAAUAUUGAAACCAAUAUUAUUGAAACUGUAACCCCAGAGGAAUACAUAAGAGACACUUUCUAGAACGCUUCAGACUCUGAAAAGGAAUAGGUACGUGGUACGGUAAGUAAACCGACUCCAAAACAGUUCUAAUGGCAUUUUUUCUCCGUUUUGGAAUAUUUAGAAAAUUAGGAAAAUAAGAAGCAGUCCGGGAAGGACACGAGGCUUCCAAGAGGGUGGGAGGCGCGCCCCCCUACCUCAUGGGCACCUCGUGCACUCUCCGGACUCCGUUUUCUUGCACGAUACUUCUUUUGGUCAGUAAAAAUUCACUAUAUAAUCUCCCGAAGGUUUUGACCACCGUAUCACGCAAAUAUCCUCUGUUUUCGUUUUGAGCUGUUUUUCUGACAGAUCUAGAUCACCAUGACGUCUCCAAGCGCCCCCAAGGACAAGUUCUUCAAGAAGGUCAUCAACCCCUACCUCACGGAGGUGCUGCAACACCAUCAAACCAUUGAGAUGCGUGAUGGGUUGCUGCACAUCCACGAUGUUGAGGGACCAAGGAGGACCGGAAGCGUGGAGACGAGGCUCGAAGCAAUGGAACAAAUUUUCAAGUGCCAGGGGAUGGUGGAACGUGGACUCAACGCCAACCACAUGAUGAUCGCGGAAUUCACCAACAACCACAAGCUGGAUGCCAAUAACAUUGGGGAAACCAUCUUCAAGCUUCACGAGAAGAUCAAGCAUCUCGAAGCCCAAAUCUAUGACCUGCAAAACCAAAACUGUGAGUAUGAAUAUAGAUUCAAGAGGAUGAGUUUGGCUGCAGAUUUGAGGAUCCCGGAGACUCGAUCAUCCUUCUAUGAUGGUGAGCCUAUGCCUUGGAAGAUGGACGACAAGCCCACAUCAUCAACAACUCCACCAUCUUCUUCACCAGCAAAGGAGAUAUAAUCACAUGGGUAUGGGCACUCCCCUUGGCAACUGCCAAGCUUGGGGGAGGUGCCCCGGUAUCGUAUCACCAUCACACUCCUAUCUUUACUGUUUUUCUUAGUUCGAUCCUUUUAGUAAUAUCUUGAUCUAGUAGAAUAAAGUUUUAGUAUGAUUUAACUUUGAGUUUUGAGUUUUGCUAUAUGAUCCUUCUAUGUAAUCGAGUCCGUGAGCUAUAUAUAAUAAAGAUUAGUGUUGAGUCAAGGGCUUGAUUAUUUUGCUAUGAUCUUGAGGGAAUUAUAGAGAAAGAAUAAAAAUAAAUAAAGAUAUCAUAUUGAUCUUAUGGAGAGUAAUGACUUCAAAUAUAAAGAGUAUGAUGAUUAAAAGUUGUUGAGAGUUGACAAACAUAGUUUUGGUCAUGUUGCAAUUGAUAGGAAGUAAUAAAGAAAGAGAGGUUUCACAUAUAAAUAUACUAUCUUGGACAUCUUUUAUGAUUGUGAGCACUCAUUAAAAUAUGACAUGCUAAAGAGUUGAUGCUGGACAAGGAAGACAACGUAAUGGGUUAUGUUUUCUUACAUCUGAAAUAAAGUAUAUUGUCAUGGAUCAUCCAACAUGUUGAUCUUGCCUUUCUCCCUCAUGCUAGCCAAAUUCUUUGCACCAAGUAGAAAUACUACUUGUGCUUCCAAAUACCCUUAAACCCAGUUUUGCCAUGAGAGUACACCAUAUCUACCUAUGGAUUGAGUAAGAUCCUUCAAGUAAGUUGUCAUUGAUGCAAGCAAUAAAAAUUGCUCUCUAAAUAUGUAUGAUUGAUUAGUGUGGAGGAAAUAAGCUUUAUACGAUCUUGUGAUGUGGAAGAAAUAAAAGCGACGGACUGCAUAAUAAAGGUCCAUAUCACAAGUGGCAAUAUAAAGUGACGUUCUUUUGCAUUAAGAUUUCGUGCAUCCAACCAUGAAAGCGCAUGACAACCUCUACUUCCCUCUGCGAAGGGCCUAUCUUUUACUUUUAUCUCUUACCCUUAUGCAAGAGUCAUGGUGAUCUUCACCUUUCCUUUUUACAUUUUAUCCUUUGGCAAACACAUUGUGUUGGAAAGAUCCUGAUAUAUAUAUCUAAUUGGAUGUAAGUUAGCAUGAACUAUUAUUGUUGACAUUACCCUUGAGGUAAAAGGUUGGGAGGCGAAACUUUAAGCCCCUAUCUUUCUCUAUGUUCGAUUAAAACUCCAUACCCAUAAGUAUUGCGUGAGUGUUAGCAAUUGUGAAAGACUAAAUGAUAGUUGAGUAUGUGGACUUGCUGAAAAGCUCUUAUAUUGACUCUUUCUGAUGUUAUGAUAAAUUGCAAUUGCCUCAAUGACUGAGAUUAUAGUUUGUUAGUUCUCAAUGAAGUUUCUGAUUCAUACUUGACAUUGUGAAUAGAUUAUUACUUGAGCAUAAGAAAUCAUAUGACAAUAUCCAUAUAUAUUGCUGUUAUAAGAAUGAUCAUGAUGCCCUCAUGUCCGUAUUUUAUUUUAUCGACACCUCUACCUCUAAACAUGUGGACAUAGUUAUCGUUAUCGGCUUCCGCUUGAGGACAAGCAAGGUCUAAGCUUGGGGGAGUUGAUACGUCCAUUUUGCAUCAUGCUUUUAUAUCGUUAUUUAUUGCAUUAUGGGCUGUUAUUACACAUUAUGUCACAAUACUUAUGCCUAUUCUCUCUUAUUUUACAAGGUUUACAUAAAGAGGGAGAAUGCCGGCAGCUGGAACUCUGGGCUGGAAAAGGAGCAAAUAUUAGAGACCUAUUCUGCACAACUCCAAAAGUCCUGAAACUCCACGGAAGUUAUAUUUGAAAAUAAUAAAAAAUACUGAGUGAAGAAAAUACCAGAGGGGGCCCACACCCUGGCCACGAGGGUGGGGGUGCGCCCUACCCCCCUGGGCGCCCCCUGCCUCGUGGGCCCCCUGGUGGCCCUCCGGUGUCCAUCUUAUGCUAUAUGAAGUCUUCCGUCCGAGAAAAAAUCAUAAGCAAGCUUUCGGGACGAAACUCCACCGCCACGAGGCAGAACCUUGGCGGAACCAAUCUAGGGCUCCGGCGGAGCUGUUCUGCCGGGGAAACUCCCUCCGGGAGGGGGAAAUCAUCGCCAUCGUCAUCACCAACGCUCCUCUCAUCGGGAGGGGGCCAAUCUCCAUCAACAUCUUCACCAGCACCAUCUCCUCUCAAACCCUAGUUCAUCUCUUGUAUUCAAUCUUUGUCCCAAAGCCUCAGAUUGGUACCUGUGGGUUGCUAGUAGUGUUGAUUACUCCUUGUAGUUGAUGCUAGUUGGUUUAUUUGGUGGAAGAUCAUAUGUUCAGAUCCAUUAUGCAUAUUAAUACCCCUCUGAUUAUGAACAUGAAUAUGAUAUGUGAGUAGUUACGUUUGUUCCUGAGGACAUGGGAGAAGUCUUACUAUUAGUAGUCAUGUGAAUUUGGUAUUCGUUCGAUAUUUUGAUGAGAUGUAUGUUGUCUCUCCUCUAGUGGUAUUAUGUGAACAUCGACUACAUGACACUUCACCAUUGUUUGGACCUAGAGGAAGGCAUUGGGAAGCAAUAAGUAGAUGAUGGGUUGCUAGAGUGACAGAAGCUUAAACCCUAGUUUAUGCGUUGCUUCGUAAGGGGCUGAUUUGGAUCCAUAUGUUUCAUGCUAUGGUUAGGUUUACCUUAAUACUUCUUUUGUAGUUGCGGAUGCUUGCAAUAGGGGUUAAUCAUAAUGCUUGUCCAAGUAAGGACAGCACCCAAGCACCGGUCCACCCACAUAUCAAAUUAUCAAAGUACCGAACGCGAAUCAUAUGAACGUGAUGAAAACUAGCUUGACGAUAAUUCCCAUGCGUCCUCGGGAGCGUUUUCCUUCAUAUAAGAAAUUGUCCAGGCUUGUCCUUUGCUACAAAAAGGAUUGGGCCAUCUUGCUGCACUUUAUUUACACUUGUUACUUGUUACCCGUUACAAAUUACCUUAUCACAAACUAUCUGUUACAGAUAAUUUCAGUGCUUGCAGAGAAUACCUUGCUGAAAACCGCUUAUCAUUUCCUUCUGCUCCUCGUUGGGUUCGACACUCUUACUUAUCAAAAGGACUAUGAUAGAUCCCUUAUACUUGUGGGUCAUCACCGUCCCCGUUCAUGUCACCUCCUGGGGCCAUUGGUGCUUGGCCUUCUCACGCGAUAACCUCAGGAGAUUCGUUCGGCGCAGGUUGUCUGACCACCUCGCAGGACCAACACAGCGAACAAGAACCAAGACCAGGUGCAACCCGCCUUGAGGUAGGUCCUCGUGAGUCCCGCGCUGGCUCACGAGUGCCCAGACACACCUCGUCUAGCCCUGUCGUGCAAGCCACGUGUCAGGGCGGGGUUGUACAUGCCCCGGGGGCUCUCUGCAGUAGGGAGUCCCCUCCCACGUACCAGUGGAAGCACCAUGCUCCGUGCUGGCCGUCGACACUGCCGAGGAGCGGCUAUGCCCGUGCAAGUGCGGAAGCGCUAUGCUCCGCGCUGGUGAUAAACAACUGAGGGCGGCCCCACGGCCGCAUCAACAUCAGGGAGCCCCUGAGCUCAGUGUCCGGCCUCACCGCAACACCUCCCCUCGGGAGAGUCGCGCGAGGGGGCUGGGCACGGGGGCUGCGCUUGGGUCACGCCCAAGCGUACGCCACCCAACCAGAUCCCCCAGACCUGGUCGUCGCGCGCCCCUCCCGAGCCGAGCCUCGGCGAGGGCAAAGGUAUGAAGGUUUUUUGCACGUCAAGGGGGACUACUGAGCAUCGUGACUCAGCAGCCUAACUGGUCACGUAGCCCCUCACUCCUUGGGUCCGUCCUGGUCUCCGUUCAGCCCAACGGCGGUUGAGCUAUGCGCGGGGCCGGGCUCUGCCGACGUAGAACACUAAACCUAUCCUCGCGUCUCCUUUCUAUAAGUUGUUUGUGCGUCAAGGGGGACUCCUGAGCAUCGCGACUCAGGAGCCUAAUUGGUCACGUAGCCCCUCACUCAUUGGUUCCGUCCUGGUCUCCGGUCGGCCGAAUGGCGGUUGAGGUAUGCGCGGGGCCGGGCUCUGCCGACGUAGAAUGUAAAGCAAAUAGGAAGAAAAUCGCAAAAUCUCAAAGCAAAUAUUACAAGACAUAUUGUUCUCCCAAAUAUCAAGCACAAGUCUAAACGCCCCCACGGGGUACCUCUCGAUUCUUCGCAGGAAACAAAAGGGGAAAGCUUCAAGGAGUCCUAUCUACACGCGCCCCUGUGGUUGACACCAUCAUCGACAGUGGGCCACCAGAGGCCGGCGCCAACCUCAUCCAGAUCAACGGCGGCGGCGGCCGGACACUGCAGCCCUGCUCCGGGCUCGGCGAGAGCUUGGGGGCACGUAGCUGUCGUCGCUCGUCUCCAGAGUCUCUUAGAGCUCGGGAGAAUCGCUGGACUCCCAAGCGUCGCUGCGGCUUCCAGAGGAGCCGAUGGCGACACGGACAGCAGGCCCUGCCCCUGUUGCGGUGUCAAACUGAUGACCCCUCCCGGAGCAACACUCCAGGCGGCGGCCUUCUGCGUCGAAGACCUUGAAGAACAGCGUGGAGGCGCCGUCAUACUCGAAGUGGAUCGCGAGGGCGCCCUCCGCACGGCACACUCGGGCGACCUCACCCCAGCCUCGGGUCAUGAAGAUCUUGGCCGAGGAGACGGCUUCAACCUCCGCUCCAGUCGCCGGCGCGUCGUAGUUGGCGUGCUGCAGCCAAAGCUCGAGGGGUCCCCUCGGCGGCAUCACGUCAGAGAAGAACCGCGGGAAGCGAAUCCAGGAGCGUGGAGGCAUCACCGCCCACAGCACCAGUUCACGCGAGGAGUCCGCGGCAUGGACUCCUCGGGCGACGGAGUGCGUCACCGUGGCCUCGCUGUCGCGACCACGGCGAGGUCGACGCCGCUCGCCGCUUCUUCCACCUAAGCCCUCGGCUUGGGUGUACAAGGGCAACGGGUACCCAGGAGGAGGCCGCUCGCACCAAGGCCUUGCCACCUCUUGCAUCACCACCACGUCACGGCGGUGGACCGGCCUCUUCUUCAGCGGAAGCGGCCCUGGCUUGUCGCGGGGAGUCUUCCCUUUCUUCGCAGCAGAAAACCUUCGGAUGGGCGCCAUUGGCGUCGCUACUAGCAAUGGAGCAAGGGGGAAGAAGCGAGCGGAAUGGGAAGAGAUGGGCAACGGGGGCUCUGCCCCCCUACCCAUUUAUAAUAGGAGAAGGCCAACCAGCGCCCCCCACGAUCACAGGUAAUGAUGAUUUUUCCUUGCAUGUCGCAGGGACUUGUCAAGUCGGGAAGUUACCGAGGCAGCGUGGGGGAGCGGAGACACCCACGUCCAGUCAACCACCACGCGUCGACUAAGGCCGCAGGCUGUGGGGGCCCGCGGCGCUCCGCACUUGCCCUUUGGCUUUGCCUCGAAGCCAAGUCCGAGCGUGCCUUGGGCCCGGGGGCUACUGUCAGUGUUCUGGGAACGGGGGUCCCCAGACUUGCCUGCCUGCGGCCCACGGCGUGGCGCUGCUAGCGGGCCUGUACGGCCCAUCUUCACCAACAAACAUUCCAGACCCUCGCGAGGGGCCAAGCCUCGCGAGGCGGACGACAUAAGACCUCCUCGGGAGCGGCCUCACCAGGCUGGCUCGCGAGGGGCUGAGAGAUCAAGGCAAGGCAAACCUUGCGAGGUUCUUGUGACGUGAGCCAUGACGAUCGAGACCAGGCGGGCGCCAGCGCGUGCAGUGUCCUUGUUUCCGCUUUGGUGCUAAGGAGGCAAGCGCAGGCGAGGAGUUCCGAGGCAUCAGGGAAAGGUUUCCAUAUCGAUGCAACGAGACCAAGGCCAGCAGGACGGCCGGACGGAGGUCACCAUGGAGCCUAAGACGACGUCACCACCAGAGCCUUUGGCAGGCGAAGACUACUUUUGUCAGGAUAAGCUAUACUAGGUGUCCCCUUUCAAAUUGGCCGUUGUGGGAUCCCUUCCUGCUCAAUAUUUGGGAAGAGGACCGGGGCCUCUAUAAAUAGGACUAGCCACCACCAUAGGAGAAAAACGGAUUCAGAUCAUCCUCACCCACACAAGUUCACCAAGCACAAGAACACCUCUCCUCAGGAGGCUGUUCUUCCCCUUGUACUGUUCAUCCUCAGCCCUGGAGGCAAUCCACCACCACACACUGGAGUAGGGUAUUACACCACAACGGUGGCCCGAACCAGUAUAAAUCUUGUGUCCCUUGUGUUGCGAGUUCGUCGAGCUAGCCUAGAGAUCGCGGAGUGUGUGAGGGCGUGAUCUGUGAGGGAGAGAUCUUCGCGCGCACCCCAGAGUUUGAACCUUAAGGGUUUUGCCGGAACCCGAGAUCCGACACACUAUCAUUAUCAUCUUUGCAUAUUUUCGCAUCAAUAUUAUGAAUACGUGUAUCACUACGAUCGAGAUUCAAUAAACCAUUCACAUUGGGUGUAUGACCAUUGAAGGUUUUAUUCAUGUAAACAGAAUAACAAUUAUUCUCUGACUUAAAUGAAUAACCGUAUUGCAAUAAACAUGAUCUAAUCAUAUUCAUGCUCAACGCAAACACCAAAUAACAUUUAUUGAGGUUCAACACUAAUCCCGAAGGUAGAGGGAGUGUGCGAUGGUGAUCGUAUCAACCUUGGAAUCACUUCCAACAGACAUUGCCACUUCGCCCAUAACUAGUCUCUGUUCAUUCUGCAACUCAUGUUUUGAGUUACUAAUCUUAGCAACUGAACCGGUAUCAAAUACCCAGGGGUUACUAUGAACACUAGUAAAGUACACAUCAAUAACAUGUAUAUCACAUAUACCUUUGUUCACUUUGCCAUCUUUCUUAUUCGCAAAGUAUUUGGUGUAGUUCCGCUUCCAGUGAACAUUUCCUUUGUAGUAGAAGCACUCAGUUUCAGGCUUGGGUUCAGCUUUGGGUUUCUUCACGGGAGUGGCAACUUGCUUGCCAUUCUUCUUGAAGUUCCCUUUAUUUCCCUUUACCCUUUUUCUUGGAACUAGUGGUCUUGUUAACCAUCAACACUUGAUGCUCUUUCUUGAUUUCUACCUUCACUGAUUUCAACAUCGUGAAGAGCUCGGGAAUCGUUUUCGUCAUCCCUUGCAUAUUAUAGUUCAUCACGAAGUUCUAGUAACUUGGUGAUAGUGACUAGAGAACUCUGUCAAUCACUAUCUUAUCUGGAAGAUUAACUCCCACUUGAUUCAAGCGAUUGUAGUACUCAGACUUAUGAGCACAUGCUCACUGGUUGAGUUAUUCUCCUCCAUCUUGUAGCCAAAGUACUUGUCAGAGGUCUCAUACGUCUCGACACGGGCAUGAGACUGAAAUACCAAUUUCAUCUCUUGGAACAUCUCAUAUGCUCCGUGGCGUUCAAAACGUUUUUGAAGUCCCGGUUCUAAGCCGUAAAGCAUGGUGCACUAAACUAUCAAGUAGUCAUCAUACCGAGCUUUGUCAAACGUUCAUAACGUCUGCAUCUGCUCCUGCAAUAGGUCUGUCACCUAGCGGUGCAUCAAGGACAUAAUUCUUCUAUGCAGCAAUGAGAAUAAUCCUCAGAUCACGGACCAAAUCCGCAUCAUUGCUACUAUCAUCUUUCAACUUAUUUUUCUCUAGGAACAAUUCAAAAAUAAAUGGGGAGCUACAUCGCGAGCUAUUGAUCUACAACAUAAUUUGCAAAUACUAUCAAGACUAAGUUCAUGAUAAAUUAAAGUUUAGUUAAUCAUAUUACUUAAGAACUCCCACUUAGAUAGACAUCCCUCAAUUCAUUCUAAAUGAUCACGUGAUCCAUAUCAACUAAACCAUGUCCGAUCAUCACGUGAGAUGGAGUAGUUUUCAAUGGUGAACAUCUCUAUGUUGAUCAUAUCUACUAUAUGAUUCACGUUCGACCUUUCGGUCUCCAGUGUUCCGAGGCCAUGUCUGUACAUGCUAGGCUCGUCAAGUUUAACCCGAGUAUUCUGCAUGUGCAAAACUGUCUUGCACCCGUUGUAUGUGAACGUAGCGCUUAUCACACCCGAUCAUCACGUGGUGUCUCGGCACGACGAACUGUCACAACGGUGCAUACUCAGGGAGAACACUUAUACCUUGAAAUUUUAGUGAGGGAUCAUCUUAUAAUGCUACUGCCGUACUAAGAAAAAUAAGUGCAUAAAAGAUAAACAUCAAAUGCAAUCAAAAUAUGUGACAUGAUAUGGCCAUCAUCAUCUUGUGCCUUUGAUCUACAUCUCCAAAGCACCGUCAUGAUUUCCAUCGUCACCGGCUUGACACCUUGAUCUCCAUCGUAGCGUCUUUGUCGUCUCACCAACUAUUGCUUCUACAACUAUCGCUAACGCAUAGUGAUAAAGUAAAGCAAUUACAUGGCGUUUGCAUUUCAUACAAUAAAGCGACAACCAUAAGGCUCCUGCCAGUUGCCGAUAACUUUUACAAAACAUGAUCAUCUCAUACAAUAACGUAUAUCACAUCAUGUCUUGACCAUAUCACAUCACAACAUGCCCUGCAAAAACAAGUUAGACGUCCUCUACUUUGUUGUUGCAAGUUUUACGUGGCUGCUACGGGCUUCUAGUAAGAACCGUUCUUACCUACGCAUCAAAACCACAACGGUGUUUCGUCAAGUUUGUUGUUUUAACCUUCAACAAGGACCGGCUGUAGUCAAAUUUGAUUCACCUAAAAUUGGAGAAACAGACAACCGCCAUCCACCUUUAUGCAAAACAAGUUGCAUGUCUGUCGGUGGAACCGGCCUCAUGAACGUGGUCAUGUAAGGUUGGUCCGGGCCGCUUCAUCCAACAAUAUCGCCGAAUCAAAAUAAGACGUUGGUGGUAAGCAGUAUGACUAUCACCGCCCACAACUCUUUGUGUUCUACUCGUGCAUAUCAUCUACGCAUAGGCCUGGCUCUGAUACCACUGUUGGGGAACGUAGCAUGUAAUUUCAAAAUUUUCCUACGAUCACGCAAGAUCUAUCUAGGAGAUGCAUAGCAACGAGAGGGGGAGAGUGUGUCCACGUACCCUCGUAGACCGAAAGCGGAAGCGUUAAGUUAACGCGGUUGAUGUAGUCAAACGUCUUCGCGAUCCAACCGAUCAAGUACCGAACGUACGGCACCUCCGAGUUUAGCACACAUUCAGCUCGAUGACGUCCCUGAACUCUUGAUCCAGCAGAAGGUUGAGGGAGAGUUUCGUCAGCACGACGGUGUGGUGAUGUGAUCCGCGCAGGGCUUCGCCUAAGCACUACGUGAAUAUGACUGGAGUAGUAAACCGUGGAGAGAGACGCCGCACACGGCUUGGAACAAUUGGUAUGUCUCCAAGGGGUGCCCUGCCCACGUAUAUAAAGGAGGGAGAGGGAGGAGGCCGGCCCUAGGGGGUGCGCCAUGAGGGGAGAGUCCUACUAGGACUCCCAGUCCUAGUAGGAUUCAGCCCCCCAUCUUAUUCCUUCUCAUGGAGGGGAAAAGGGGGAAGGAGAGGGAGAGGGGGAAAGGAAAGGGGGCCGCGUCCCCUUCCCCUUGUCCAAUUCAGACAGCCCAUGGGGGGGCACGCCAUCCCUUGUGGGCUCCCUCUCUCUCCCCUAUGGCCCAUGUUGGCCCAUUACUUCCUCGGGGGGUUCCGGUAACCCUCGGUACUCCGAUAAAUAUCCGAAACGUCCUGAAACCAUUUCGGUGUCCAAAUACUAUCAUCCAAUAUAUCAAUCUUUACCUCUCAACCAUUUCGAGACUCCUCGUCAUGUCCGUGAUCUCAUCCGGGACUCCGAACAAUUCUUCGGUCACCAAAACACAUAACUCAUAAUACAAAUCGGCAUCGGAUGUUAAGCGUGCGGACCCUAUGAGUUCGAGAACUAUGUAGACAUGACCGACACAUAUCUCCGAUCAAUAACCAACAGCGGAACCUAGAUGAUCAAUAACCCAUAUCUUUGUCGUGGGUUGCCCGGAACCCCUUCCGGUGACCCGGUAUCACCCGGAACACUUCCGGUGUCCAAAUACCAUCGUCCUAUAUAUGAAUCUUUACCUCUCGACCAUUUAGAGACUCCUGGUCAUGUCCGUGAUCUCAUCCGGGACUCCGAACAAACUUCGGUCAUCAAAUCACAUAACUCAUAAUACAAAUCUUCAUCGAACGUUAAGCGUGCGGACCCUACGGGUUCGAGAACUAUGUAGACAUGACCGAGACAUAUCUCCGAUCAAUAACCAACAGCGGAACCUAGAUGCUCAUAUUGGUUCCUACACAUUCUACGAAGAUCUUAUCGGUCAAACCGCAAUAACAACAUACGUCAUUCCCUUUGUCAUCGGUAUGUUACUUGCCCGAGAUUCGAUCGUCGGUAUCCUCAUACCUAGUUCAAUCUCGUUACCGGCAAGUCUCUUUACUCGUUCCGUAAUGCAUCAUUUCGUAACUAACUCAUUAGUUAUAUUGCUUGCAAGGCUUAUUAUGAUGUGCAUUACCGAGAGGGCCCAGAGAUACCUCUCCGAUACUCGGAGUGACAAAUCUUAAUCUCGAUCUAUGCCAACCCAACAAAUACCUUCGGAGAUACCCAUAGAGCAUCUUUAUAAUCACCCAGUUACGUUGUGACGUUUGAUAGCACACAAGUUAUUCCUCCGGUAUCCGGAAGUUGCAUAAUCUCAUAGUCAAAGGAAUAUGUACAAGUCAUGAAGAAAGCAAUAGCAAUAAAACUUAACGAUCAUUACGAUAAGCUAACGGAUGGGUCUUUUCCAUCACAUCAUUCUCCUAAUGAUGUGAACCCAUUCGUCAAAUGACAAUACAUGUCUAUGGUUAGGAAACUUAACCAUCUUUGAUUAACGAGCUAGUCUAGUACAGGCUUACUAGGGUCACUGUGUUUUGUCUAUGUAUCCACACAUGUAUCAAGUUUUCGGUUAAUACAAUUCUAGGAUGAAUAAUAAACAUUUAUCGUGAUAUAAGGAAAUAUAAAAUAACAACUUUAUUAUUGCCUCUAGGGCAUAUUUCCUUCAGAAACUACAUCUUGUAGAUCCUGUCCAGUUGUGUUUUGCCAAAUUGUCCUUAGUUAGAAUGACUUGUUUAUGGACAAACUACAUAAACACUUUGAUUUUUAAAGGCACUUUGACUUUCCAAACAUGUUUCGAACGAGGAAUAGAGCUAGAGUUGAUGACAUCCGAAUACAUGGAUUUAACCGAAAACUCUCCAUUCUUUGUUAGUUUCCGGCGCAACUGAUCGGGCUGUUGAGAUAGGUGAACAUCCAUCAAUCUUCUCACAAGAUGGAUGCAAGCUUCCCAGCGGUUUCCCGCUAGCAUCCUCCUCAAUUGAAUAUUAAGAGGAUUGGACUGUAAUACUGUUGCAACGUAAGCGUCUCUUUGCUGAGCAAUAUUAUAUAGAGAAGGAUAUUGGAGUGUAGGGGGCGUCUCCCCUAGCCAUGUAUCCUCCCAAAAUCUCGUGGUAGUACCAUUUCCAACUACAAAUUUUGUCUUAUUAAAAAAACUGAUUUCACUCUCAUCAGUCAUUUCCAAAAAGGCGAAUCAGUCAGCCUUACCGUCACCUGGGAUAGUGUUUUGGAUUGAAGGUAUUUAUUCCGCAGAAUCUGGGCCCACGUGGCAUCCGUCUAUACAGAUAGCUUAUACAGCCACUUGCUGAGUAGACAUCUGUUCUUCACCUCUAAAUUUUCAAUGCCGAGCCCCCCUUGUUCUUUCGGUCUACAAAUGAUAUCUCAUUUAGCGAGUCUGUAUUUUCGUUUUUAAAUCAUCGCUCUGCCAAAAGAACCGCGAUCGAUAGAAAUCUAGCCUUUUUCAAACUCCAACUGGUACCUCAAAAAAUAACAAGAGAAACGUAGGCAUACUCGUGAGUACCGAAUUAAUGAGAAUUAGUCGGCCUUUGUAUGACAUAAGCUUGCCAUUCCAGCAGCUUAGCUGACAUUAAUGACACGCAGAUUCCCGAGAGAAGAGUUGUCUGCUCCGGCCAUGUGUCUGGAGGGGUCUGCGUUGUGCGAGGUAACGCGUCGCCGCGGGCAACCGGCGGACCGGGCAAGUCAACGGAGGCCCCUUGGCUCCCUUGAUCAGUCGCUGCUCCCGAAAUGCUCUCGAACGUUCAGCAGCGGCUAGCUCGUGGAUCGGUCAUUCCCGUCGCUAAAGAAAGGAAGUCGCAUCUAGGCCAAGUUGCAGGAUUGCAACGCAGAAAAGGGAUGGAUGGACCAUUUCACUUGGUGCAAAGACAGCCAGAGAGACAGAAAGAGCCGUCGGCGUCGCCGGCUACGAACGAGCCCGCCCACUUUGAGUAACGAUUCUUCUCGUCGUGAAACAGUGCAAUCGGCUGGCUGCUACUCCUUUUAGCAAGCGAGUCCCAGUGCGCGCAUAAAGGGGAUGGAGGAAGAAACAUCCUUGUGCUAAUCCUGUCGUACUUACUCCAAGUUUUUAUACGUCUCGAUGUCUAGACGUGCCAUGCAGGCAGGCUAGCUGGCGAUCACAGAAGCUUCACGGAUGGUGGUAGUAAUAAUUAAGAGGACGGCGGGCAGAAGUUUUUGUAUGCAUGGCCACGCGCAUGCUUUAUGUUCCUUCCAGCUUACCGGGAGGGAUCGGGAUGAGCAGACGGGUGAUUGCAACCGGCAACCGGACGACCGAGAUCACGAGCCACUCGGCCCUCAACGGGAAGCACGCACGACGAGGGGAUGACUGACUGGACACCCAAACCAAACCUAACAGCCGCAGUAGUGGCGAUCGGCCAGCCAUCGAUAACGUGGACCGACCGAACCGUACCUGUCAUUCAACGCAAGGCGGGCAGGCACACUUAGUUAUCCAUAUCUUCCAAUUGUCCAUCGCUCUCGUGAUGCAAAAUUUGCGCGUGGGCGUCCGUCCCAAAAAUUAAUGGGGCCGAGCGGAGCGGAGCGCGGCGCGUGCAGCCCGGGCCCCCGCGUGCGCGCACUAGGCUAGACCAGUAAGUAGGCAACUACACUAGAGAGAGCAGCGCGCGGCGGCAACAGCGGUGGAGCGCGGCGAGCACGACCACCGGCUUCCCGAGGGAGGGCCGAUCCCUCUCGCGUCCUUGUCGUGGCCAAAAGACCCUCCUCCACUCCACCGUCGCUUUGCCACUUAUCCCCGCGCCGAUUGGAGCCCCACGCGAUACCCCGGACGGGUUCAGAGAUCUGACGCAUAUGGCCGAGAUUUUGUGCCACGGCUCUCUCUCUCUCUCUGCCCUUUGACAUUUACACAAGGUCAGAUCCAGAAUAACCGACGCCUGACGCGCCCAAGUGGCUGGUCAAGCGCAGCCAAUAAUAUAGGAUCGGCAUAAAGAGUCAAGCAAGCGCAAAGUUAAUUCGCGGCUUCCAUAUUCCCCUGCGGCCCCUUUAAUGACGCCACAGAGUUCCAUCCAAAGAUUCCACCCUUUUUCUUGUACUACCUCCUCUCUCCCUUUUGACAUUUGGAGCAAAGUCAAAGAAAACAAUAGGGAGGAGAAGCCAAGGCCCUUUUGACAAGUGCGUAGCAUAGAGCCCCGCCCCAGUAUACAAUACAAUGCGGAGUGGCUGAUCAUUUCAAAUCCGGACGCGAUCUUCUCUCUUAUCCCCUGCGCUGCUGCGAAGCGCGCGCCGUGCCCACCACUUGCCUUUGACUUUACAGGGAUCGAGUCAUCCUCCUCGUGCCACUCCAGGGUACGCGUCUGGAGUAGUAUGUACAGGCGUACGCGUAUAUAUUUGCGCUUCCCCGGACCGGCCUGCCAGUGCCAAAAGUCAACCCCAUCCCGCGCCGGCCACCACCACGCGUCCGUCCUACCUAGCUCACUUCGUCAAAGCUCUCCAAGCUCAAAUCCCUGGUCGCCGUUCAUGUGCGGCCUGCUUCUGCGCAUGGAGCACCUCAACGACUGGGACCUGCAGGCCGUCGUCAGGAGCUGCGCCACCUUCUCCUCCCGCCACCCCCAGGACCGCGCCGGUCCUCCUCCGGGGACCGCCGCGGCGCCGGUGGCGGAGACGACGGUCAAGCGGGAGCCGCGCGACGUGGCCCGGCCAGCAGCGGCGGCCAAGGACGCGUCGUCGCUGUACGGCCUGGAGUACCUGGACUUGGAUCACAAGCCCUUCUUGCUGUCGGCGCCGUCGUCGCAGUCGUGGGCGGCGGUGGAUGACCGCCACGAGAUGAUGAUCUCUUUCCCCGCGGCGGCGUCCACGUCCGGCGUGCGGCCGCGGGUGCCGCCUGGCCGGAAGCCCGGCAUACGAAGCAGCACCCCACGCCCGAAAAGAAGGUACGUAUAUGCUCCUACCAAGUUGAUUUGUGCACCCGGCCCGAUCGCUUAUGCAGCGCGAUUUGGAUCGGAGAAGCUUGCAGCCUGCUGAUUGUGAUUUUGUUUGGUGGUGGUGGUGAUGGUGAGCAGCAAGAAGAGCCAGCUGAAGAAGGUGGUGUGCGAGGUGCCGGUGGCCGACGGCGGCGUCUCCUCCGACCUUUGGGCAUGGCGAAAGUACGGUCAAAAGCCCAUCAAAGGCUCGCCUUAUCCCCGGUAAUUAACUACUAUAACCACUUCCACCGGCCCGUUUCCACGCGUUACUGUCGUCUCGUCGAUGCACUAGCUACCCGGUGCACAGCCUCGAGUCCAGUCACUACCGCUACUACUUUCUGUUAAUACAUUCGCAAUAACUGAUUUCUCAUACGAUGAAGAUUUACACUGAUUUCAUCAAACCUUUGGUCAUUUGGAUAUACUCCUAAUUACGAACAGUAUAGUAGUAGUACAUAUGAGAUAUGACCUGGUGCUUAGAACUUGCUAGGAGUAGAUUUUAGCCGCGCACCUUGCCAAUUUGGCAUCAAGUUUUGGCCAACCACACACCACAUGUACUUUUGCAGUACAACACGCAUGCUCCGGAAGGCACUCAAGUACUCCUCCGUACCAGUACCUGUCUUAAUUACUAGUAGUAGAAGCACCGCUAGUCCUGGUCUGCAUACUCCUAAACUUUGUUAGCUUUGUGGUGACAGGGGAUACUACAAGUGUAGCAGCAUGAAGGGGUGCAUGGCCCGGAAACUGGUGGAGCGCAGCCCGGCCAAGCCCGGUGUGCUCGUCAUCACCUACAUGGCCGACCACUGCCACCCGGUGCCGACGCAGAUCAACGCGCUCGCCGGCACCACCCGCCACAAGACCACCCCUGCCGAGGGCCACGCGCCGACGACCACGACGUCGCCCAAGAGCCACGGCGAUGCCCACGAGGCGGUGAGGUGCGACGACGAAAGCAACGAGACGUCGUCCAUGGCUGUGGACGGCGCCACUGAGGACGCGGCGGGGGAUGACGGCGGCGAGUUCUGGCCGACGGAGCUGGACCUGGACGAGUUGUUGGCGCCCGUGGAUGGCGAUCUGGAUCAUGUCUUCGACGAGGACGACGCCCUGGGACGACGGCUCUCGCUAUAGCUGGAGAGGAAAUUUGUAGCUAUAACCUAUAGGCACCACCGAUUGACAACUUUUUUGCCCCUUUGUUCACCUAUUUGCGAAGGAGGGGUCACGCAGCAGGCAAGAAGCCAUGUAUAUGCGUUUGAUGUGUGUUUUGUGCUUGAUCCCUCUCAACAAAAUGAUGAAGAUUUCUUAUGUAGCUCCAGUCAACGGCUGCCUACUAACUACUAGUACAAUAGUAUUGAGUCUUGUAUACAUGUAAUUAUAGUUCAUCAAAGCCUUGACCACACCGAGCCAACAAGUGCUUGGCACCUGGUCGUUGGAUGUGCGUGAUACCUCUCGGCGGUUGCCUCCUCAACGCAUGGGCGCCUGGUCGAGCGCUAAUGCAAUGGUUUUCUCGGUAGAAAAAAAGGCAGCGCUCGUUAAACAGCUCAGAAGAAAGUAAAAAAAAAACUAAGCGCCCGAUGGCAGCCCUGGCAUCGACGCAGCCAGGAAGUGAGUCCUAGCGCCUGUCAUUAUAGUCCAUGCGAGCGGAUCUGAUGCGGCGCCCGGGAGAUGGCGAGGUGGAGGAAGAGGGCGCCGAGAAGGGUCGCUGUAAAGGAGGAGGAGGGCGCGGGGAGGAGGGCCGGUGCGGAUCUGGCCGGCGUAGGGCUGGGCAGCGGUCCGGCGGUGGUAGUGGCGCGGAUCUGGCGCGCUGCCGCCACGAGGGCCCGAGUUCCGCCCCGUGCUGCUCCUGGCCUGGCGCGGAGGUGGGCGCCGCAAAGGGCGGCGUCGGCACUGCACUGGGCGGCGAGUGGAGGGCGUCGAGGGCACUGAUGGGCCGCGCUGGAUCUGGGAGGGCUGCGCUUGCUGGAGCAGGGAGGCUCCAGCCGUGGUAGAUGCGGGAUGCGGGGCCCGAUCUGGCCUCUGCAUGCUCGCCGUGGGGAGGUGGACCAUGCCUUCAUGGCUUCAACAACAAGGUGCUGCGGCGGCGGUGUGAGACGACAUGGACGAGCUCCGUAGGGCUUGAGCGGAGGUGUGCGACGAUACAGACGAAAGUCCUGCACAACAAGAGCCGGUGCCGAUGGCGCCUGAGGGUGUCAUUUUCCCCCUUGGAGGCGCCACCAAGGUGUGUCGGCAUCUUCCUCGGGCUUGGUUGGUAGUGUCUCCGGGCGAAAGCCUAGGUCCGGUUGGAUCGGCGUGAUGACGGCGUCUCCAACGUCGUUCCUCUGUUGGGAGCAUCACGUUUUUGAGACACUGCUUGGAGGUUCUAUGUGGCGCUCCUCCGGUGCUCGCCGUUGUUUUUGGUGAAGCUCCACACGCAAUGUACGCCAUCGCUGAUAAGUCCAAGACGAAGCUUUUUCUGGGACCGACCGAGUUCCGUCAUCUGCCUGCACUCUGCUUCAAGGGUGGAUUGUGCGUUGAUAAAGAAAGUCUUAGUUGGAGCUGCUGCUGUCUUCGGAGGAUACCGGCGUUGGUCAAGUGACGCGGCGGUGACGCUUAGCCUAGGACAGGCCCCUUUUGCUUUGUAGUCGUGUUGGCUGUGGUGGGUAGCUCGGCAACUAAUAGGGAUGUCGUUUUCUUUUUCUUUGAUCUUCGGAUCUUCAUCAUGUUGUUCUUCCGCUGCUUUCUGCUAAAUCGAAUCAAGCCAGCAUUUUGCUGGAUCUUUAAAAAAAAUUAGCGCCCGCGUUGUACAUGCCCUAAGAACUCCACGGCGUUGUACAUGCCCUAAAAGCAUCUCCAGCCGCGUUCUCAACAGGCCCUUCUCAUGCGUUUUUGCCGUGCCGACGCCCAAAAUUCGGUCCAGUCGCACCCCCAGUAGCCCGUUUUUCGCCGGCUCGGGCCGAUACUGGUGCCGGCGGACUCGAGCCGAACCCGGCGCGCUGGGGGGCGCCUGGGGGCGCCGGCACAAGCGAAAAGGGGCGUGGGACCGCUCUGUUGGCGAGUCGAGAGCCUCUUCCCGCCGUUUCUUCUCGCUUUUCCCCCACUUCCCUCCCAUUCUCUCCAUUCCUCCCGCCAAUCUCCCUCCCGCUUGCCUCCCAGCCACCGCCAUGCCGCCGAAGAAGUACGUGAUCCUCCGCGCUUCGACCACCGCGACCGCCUCCGUCGCCUAGCCGAAGCAGAGGAAGCCGAGGGCGCCACCGUCCAAGCCACCGGGCAUGACAAACAACGAGUGGAGGGCGGAAGUUCAGCGACGGGAGGCUGUCACCGCCAAGAAGGCCCGUGACAACGCGGCACGUGCCGUUGCGGCUGCGGCAGACCAAGCCGAGGCCGAGGCGACUCGCGUGGGAAUGAUGAAUCCACCCAGCGGCCACGCCCAGUACGCACCCUGGAGCCAGCAAAGCGUCGGCUCUCCGUCCGGCUUCUCGUCGUCGCCGCAGCCAUGGGGAUGCACGCCGUCGCCGGGCUACGCCGACGGGGACGCGCAUGGUGGGUUCAACCCCAACGUCACCUUCCCCCAUGGACACCCGGCCCAGCGCAGGCCCUCGCCCGCCUUUGCCGGCGUGCAGUACCCUCCAUACAACUACUCACCGCCGGCUUACGCGUGCUCCCCGACACCCCCUCUCCGCCGUGGCGCGCUGUCCUUCUCACAAGCUUCCACGUCGCACCUCGGCGACACCGACGAGACCGACGCCGACAUGGACGACAUCAUCGCGGCAGGCUCGGUCGCGGCCGUCGCGUCCCCCGGGUUCGCUACCCCGGACGACACGGUGGACCUCAGCAGCGGCAUGGACGGCGAGCUCGACUACGGCGAGGAGGAGCCAGAGGAGGAGGAGCCGGCGACUGUUCCGGCGAGGAGGCGCAAGAAGAAGAAGGGGGCGGCCAGGACCGGCGAGCCGCGUAUCAAGUGGGCGUCCAAGGAGCAGGAAUGCCUCACCGAAGCGCGGAAAGUCGUCUGCCUCGACCCGACCACAGGCACGAACCAGAGCAUCGAGACAUACUGGCAGCGCAUCAAGGCCGAGUUCAACGAGCCCAAGCUCGUCGAUCCCUACUUCAAAGGCGUCUACAUGCAGCGUGGGGCGAAGGCAAUGGCGAACCAUUGGGGGCUCAUCCAGGCGGCGUGCAAAAAAUGGCAUGGGGUCGUCGAGGAGGUCGCGGCUCGCCCGGAGAGCGGCGCCAACGUUGAGGAUCACGUAUGGCACGCCGGUCUCCCGCUUCUCUUUGCCGUAUGCGCCCGCCAACUGUUUGUUCCUCCGCGCAGCUGGUGCGCAUGUUCGCCUUGUAUCGCCAGGGCAACAGCGAUCAAGAAUUCAAGUACCUCCACGUUUAACAAGUGCGAGAAGUGGGCGGAAGUCCGGCGCACCCUCGACAACGCCAAGUAGACCUACAAGCCGGACGCGCCGACGCCAGGCGCGUCAGAGGGGCGGCCGGACGGCAACAAAGGGGCCAAGAAGGGGAAACACGUCGACGCGGCUACCGCGCGAGUGCAGUAGUCCAUCGAGCAUUGCCUCGCCGACGCACAGGCCCGGGCCGUCCUGCGUGAAGAGAAGACCGAGGCGUGGUGGUCGGCGUUGAUGACGAGCAGCGCCGUCAAGCUCGACCUACUUCGGACCAACGUCGCCGCGAAGAAGAGGAACACCGACCUGGCUUUCCUGCUGGGCGGGGCGGACAUGCUCCAGAGCAACGACGAGGCGGUCAAGGUGUGGUACUUGGCGGAGCGUGGCCUCAUCCUGAACCAGCUGCCGUCGACGGCGCCGCCAUCUCCCACGCCCACGCCCACGCCUCCGCCAAGCCCGAGCGAUGAUGCCUCCACGACUCCCCGCAGUACAGAAGCCACACCGACGGCGCCCAGCACAGAAGAAGCUCCGACCCCGCCAAGCCCGCGCACGCCAACUCCGCCGACGCCGGAGGCCGACCUCGCCAUCUGAUGCACUGCACGCGCGUCUUUUCUUUUUGUACGCCGAACUUUUCAUUCGAUCCUCGAACUGUAGCCGCAUGAUCGCCGGAUUGAUGAAUGACUACGUUUGAAUUUGCCGCGGGUUGGAGGGCGGCGCCUGGGGGGCGUGGCUGGAAGCUAGGUCACCCCAAGGGCCGAUCUAGCGCCGGUUCACCCACAUGCCGCUCUUUUUCGGUGCGCUGGGGGGCUGAACCUCUGGAGAUGCUCUAAGAACUCCACCUUCCAUGCAACCAACUAAAGGUACUGCAGCUCACGAUGGUAGAAACACAUAUCAUAAUGUCUCGGUAAAUCGUGCUCCCCUACCACAACAGUGAUUCCGCUCUUUUCUUAUAUGAUUAACUGCUAACUUUCUGAGACAAUCACAUCAUCACAUAAAAUUUCACGAUCGAUGUGAUCAAUCUGAUCAAACAAAAAUAAAGUGUGAUGCGCAGAUUUCAGACAAAAAAUAGCACCGUUUCACAGAUGAUAGUUUUGGCACCAGUUACAACGACGUUUUGCACUUCCAUACCACAGAUGCACAGGUAUGGCUUACUCUAUUACCAACUGUAGCUCGCAAAACUAGGAUAAGUACUUAAAAGCUAACCUGCCACGCAAACAGCUUACAAAUACGGAAACAGAAUCAAGAGCAACACACAAUAAUCCGACCGACACUGAUUUGCAAGUCUGCAGCCAAGUUAACACUCACGACCCGACCAGGAUUUACAACAUGGAUGAUCUGGAUUCAUUAA
rnacentral:lncRNA from 1 species